ensembl:scaRNA
ACAGUCUGAGGAAAGGCUCCUGUGUGGCUGAACCUGCCCGAGGUGGGUGCAGCCUUGUACCAGACAGCCCAACCUUGACCUAAAGAAAAUCCCCAGAGGAACACGUUCCCUGGGGUUGGAAUUUGCAAUAACAGGUGUGAGCAUCCUAGCAGCAGUUUGGUGAUCAUGUAUGAUACUGCAAACAGGA